UACAGAGGUCUCAAGCGUUGUUCGGAUUCAUUGGGCGUAAAGGGUGCGUAGGUGGCGCGCUAAGUCAGGUGUGAAAUUUCGGAGCUUAACUCCGAAACUGCAUUUGAUACUGGUGUGCUUGAGGACUGGAGAGGAGACUGGAAUUCAUGGUGUAGCAGUGAAAUGCGUAGAGAUCAUGAGGAAGACCAGUGGCGAAGGCGGGUCUCUGGGCCGAUACUGACGCUGAGGAGCGAAAGCGUGGGGAGCGAACAGG
rnacentral:rRNA from 1 species